rnacentral:rRNA from 1 species
UACGUAGGAGGCAAGCGUUGUCCGGAAUUACUGGGCGUAAAGCGCGUGUAGGUGGUGGGACAAGUCUGCUGUGAAAGCGCCUGGCUUAACCGGGCGAGGUCGGCGGAAACUGCCUCACUGGAGGACGGUAGAGGGGGGUGGAAUUCCCGGUGUAGUGGUGAAAUGCGCAGAUAUCAGGAGGAACACCAGCAGCGAAGGCGGUGGUCUGGGCCGACAUUGACGCUGAGGAGCGAAAGCGUGGGGAGCGAACAGG